rnacentral:rRNA from 1 species
CUACGGGUUGCUCCAGUGAGGAAUUUUUCGCAAUGGGGGCAACCCUGACGAAGCAACACCGCGUGAAGGAUGAAGGGCUUUUGCUUGUAAACUUCUUUUUUGAGGGAAUAAAUAUGAAGGUACCUCAAGAAUAAGCAUCGGCUAACUACGUGCCAGCAGCCGCGGUAAGACGUAGGAUGCAAGCGUUAUCCGGAAUUAUUGGGCGUAAAGAGUUCGUAGACGAAUUGUUAAGUAGGAUGUUAAAGAUCAGGGCCUAACCCUGAGAAGGUGUCCUAAACUGGCAGAAUAGAGUAAUGUAGGGGCAAGUAGAAUUCUGUGUGUAGGGGUAAUAUCCGUAGAUAUACAGAGGAAUACCAAAAGCGAAGGCAGCUUGCUGGGCAUUUACUGACGUUCAAGAACGAAAGCGUGGGGAGCAAACAGGAUUAGAUACCCCCGUAGUC